rnacentral:lncRNA from 1 species
CAAGCCUCUCCUUCGGGUGAUGCCUUCUUUGGGGUGGCCUUUCUGCGAGCGUCCGUGCGUGCGUGUCCAUGAAUAAACCUCAGCUUGUCUCGGCAAGCUAGGUGCGAGUCCCUUCUUUGUUUUUUGUAUGAUUAUUGCCAGUGUUUGUUUCUUGUUGGGUUCGUCCUCAGAGUUGCUGCGAGAUUUAUGGGAUUAUCCCAGUCAAUCCUUCUGUCAUGUAAGAUUUUAUUUUGGGCAAAUCAUGAGUGUUGUAUGCCUGUUCCCUCAGUAACUCACUCGUUGUGUAUACAAUUGGACAGGCAUGUCACAUGGUGCCUGUAGUUGUGAUGUGCAUGCUAUACCUCCGUGUGAUCGAGAUCGAUCCAUAUGAUCGAUGCGCCAUGUGUGCAGUGGCAGCUGACACCCGGCGCUACGCAUGCGCAAGGACCGCUGCGAGACCUGAGCAUUUCUUGGGCCGGGCUUUAAAAAGCCGAACCCCACAAAUCUAAGCCUGAGCCAUGCCCGGUCCUGAACAAACGAACACUAUUCUAUUUUUCUCAAUCCUUUUUCCGGUAGUGAAUACUACCUCCCUCCCAGUUUAUUAGACCCCUAGUAUAUUGAGUCAAACUUUGACCAUUGACAUGACUAAUAAAAUAUAGAAUACAUGCUUAAAGUAGUACAAUGUUGGAUUUGUAUUUGAAAGAGCGUUCGGAAGGUAUAAUGUUUGUGACGUAUAGUUUACAUGUUAUUAGUUAAAAUUGUGAGUCAAACUUUAAUCUAAAAUAAGAGGGAGCCUAAUAAACCCGGACGGAGGUAGUAGUACUUAUCUUUCUAUUGAAAUUACGUAAUUUAUUCAUUUUCAAGAUAUAUUAAUACAUUAGUAUGAUUUUUUUAAUGAAACCUUAUUUUUAGUUUUUUAGAACCACAAUAUAGGCCAGAAGCUCACAAUCACUAUAUAUGUGGCAAUUUCCCAAAAGAAAAAACCCAUGUGUGCCAACAUUUUUUAGGAAAGAUAUUUCUUUCCAUUUCAUUAACGAAACCCCCGCAUGUUCUUACAAGAUACAAACUGCUAAAAGAGCCUGGAGGCCUUUAAUUUGAAAAUUUUCAAAAUCCUAUUUUUUUUGUUUCAAAAAAUUCUGAAACAACACACAUGUAUGCAAGGAUGUAAUGUGUAUGUGUGUAAAAAUUCAGUAUGAAAUAUCUUGAUUUACGAGCUGCAAAUAAAUUUAAUGGAGUAUGAGGAUGAAGAAUACAUAUGCUAAAAAGCCCCAGAUUUUUUUCUGUAGCUCUCAUUUAAACCUAUUUCGAUCUGAAAAUUUGCACACAUGUACAUUAUGUGUAUUACGUGAAUUUGUUUUCAGAAUUUAUUGAAACUGAAAUACGGUUAAGUGUACGCAUGAGCCUACAAAAUACGUACAAGGUAUUUGUAAAUGAUAAAAGUACUACAACAAACAACUCAAAACAGGUGUUCGACGUGGACCUCUUUUGUUUUGCAGGAACAUGGGAAUUAUUAAUGUACAGUAAUGCCUUUUACAAUCAUGAUUGAGCAACUCGGCAAAAAACAAAGUGGCCUCAAGCGGCCAAACAUUGGCCUCUACACCCGCUCCUAGCACCAGCAGCUUGUGCAAGUUGGCGAGCUACCCUGUGUCCUCCUCUAUUAACCUGAACCGAAAUUCAGGAAGUUCAGCCGCAGUAUCUCUAACAUCAGGUAGCAGGCGAUAAUACUACACGCACACGGAAAGAAUCGACAGACUUUCACGGAAUCCACCUCACCUAACCAAAUCCUAGCCAAUCAAUUUCUAACUACACCGUAAUCCCCCUGUAAAUCCCCGUGUGUCUAGCAUUGCUCGAUAGCAGGUGUGCAUGGGCAUGGCGCGACCAUAACUUGAGAGCCUGACUCCACUUGAGGCCAAACUGUUCAUGGCCGCCCAUCCAGUCAUCGGCGUCGCAGACCACGCGGAUUUGUGUUGUAGCAAUCCAUCCGCCUUGCUUGAACACAAAGUUCUGUUGGCAAGCUUCCAGCGCCGUGCGUGUCCUGGAGCAGCGGACGGUAGCAAUUGAAGCACGCGCGUACGUGGGAUACUACCCUACGGUCCUACCCUACUUGCGGGUUGCGGCCUUUUCCUCUUUGAGAAGACGUGCACUCCGACUGCUGCAUCGAUCGUUGUGACUCGUGGGACCCUAUUGGCAUCGCGUGUGCCGCUAUAUAAGCUGGGGUGCUCACACAGCAGCUCCGUCACUCAUCCCACCCUGAUACACUCGUUAACUCGUAACGAACAAGCAGCCAUCGAUGGAGGCUCCACGCAAGCUGUCUCCGCCGCGCUCGUGCUGGUGCUGCUGCUCGCGGCCACGGGGGAGAUGGGAGGCCCGGUGGCGGUGGCGGAGGCUCGGAAGUGCGAGUCGCUGAGCCACAGGUUCGCGGGCCUCUGCCUGCGCGGCCACAACUGCGCCAACGUCUGCAGGACCGAGGGCUUCCCCGGCGGCAAGUGCCGCGGCGCCCGCCGCCGCUGCUUCUGCACCACCCACUGCCGCUAGUAGCCUAGCGGCAUGCAUGCGUGCUGGCACCUUUGUGCGUGUGAUUGUGUCCAUGUCCAUGAAUAAACCUCAGCUUGUCUACUAUCUUGGCAUGCAGGCCGAGCUGGGUAUAAGAAACAACUUCUUCUUGUGUCCGUUCCAUGUUUGGGUUCGUCCUCAAAGUUGCAGUGAGGUUCGAUGUGUUCCUUUCACGUGUGUUGUGUUGUGUGCGUGUAAGCGUGUUCCCUCAGUCACUCAUUUGCUCCGUACACGGAACGACGUGCAUGUCGCAUGCUACUUCCGUCUAUGCUUUUUUGUUUGUUUGAGAAAAGUGUGAUCGAGGCAUGUGUGCAGCAAGGAACACGACAGCUGACACCGAGUAAAUUGCACAGAAGUACCACAAUUGGGACAUUAGAAGCAGAUUGAUAAUUUUUACGUGUCAGUAUCAACUUUGGGGCGGGCGAGGCGUUGCAAAAAAGACUAAAACUGCAGUUUAUACGUAUUGACAGGGAAUCUGACUGAUUGGGCCCGCCUGUCAGGUGCUGACGUGGCAAGUUUUUUGCAGAAAACUCCCUUGGUUUGUGAGUAAUCAUGUAAAUGCCCAAUUAUUUCGGGAAAAAAGGCUCCUAUGAGAGGCUUUUUUCCGUUCGUAAUUUCCACCACGGAUUCGGACUCGUUUGCAAAUUUGCGUCGGUUUGAACAAGUAAAUAAAACGAACANNNNNNNNNNNNNNNNNNNNNNNNNNNNNNNNNNNNNNNNNNNNNNNNNNNNNNNNNNNNNNNNNNNNNNNNNNNNNNNNNNNNNNNNNNNNNNNNNNNNNNNNNNNNNNNNNNNNNNNNNNNNNNNNNNNNNNNNNNNNNNNNNNNNNNNNNNNNNNNNNNNNNNNNNNNGGCGUUGCAAAAAAGACUAAAACUGCAGUUUAUACGUAUUGACAAGGAAUCUGACUGAUUGGGACCGCCUGUCAGGUGCUGACGUGGCAAGUUUUUUGCAGAAAACUCCCUUGGUUUGUGAGUAAUCAUGUAAAUGCCGAAUUAUUUCGGGGAAAAAGGCUCCUAUGAGAGGCUUUUUUCCGUUCGUAAUUUUCACCACGGAUUCGGACUCGUUUGCAAAUUUGCGUCGGUUUGAACAAGUAAAUAAAACGAACAAAAAAACAAUCCCGUGCAGGAUUCGAACCGGGGACCUGCGGUACAGCAGAGCAGCGGGCUAGCCACCGCGCCAUGGCUGCGCUCGCGUCAAGAAGCAGGCAGAACGGUUUUUAUACUAGACAUGGGCAGGCUGGGCCGGCCCACCGAGGCCUGCAUUGUUUUUUCCUUUCGCACUUACCUGGCGUAUUGGGGCUCAUUCGUUGCCCAGAUUUCUUUACGUUUCAUUUCUCUUACUUAUUAUGCUUUAUUUUUUAUUCUGGUUUUGGUUUAUUUUUAGGUUUUUCUUUCUUAUUUUUUCAUUCGCUAGGUUGGUUUAUCUCCUGGAUUUUUAACAUAUUUACUGAACAUUUUUUAUGAUGGGUUUUAGUAUAUGAUGAACAGUGAACAUUUAUUUCAUGUAAUGAACUUUUGGUAAUAUACAUUGAACAUGUUUUCAAUGCCAAUUUAAUAUUUUCCUAAUAUAUGUUGAAUUUGUUUCUUAAGAUAUGAUGACAUUUUGCAUAAUGCGCGGUGAAAUUUUCGUAAUUUAUGGUGAACAUUUUCUUAAUACACGAUGAGUUUCAAGAAUAUUAUGAUUACACAAUUUCUUAAUUUAUAGUAAACAUUUUUAAUACACGAUGAACUUUUCUUACAAACAGUGAACACUUUUCUAAUAAUAUGAACGUUGAACAUAAUUUGAAUGCAAAUGGAAUAUUUUUGUAAUAUAUGUUGAAAUAUUUUCUUAAGAUAUGAUGAAAAGUUUACUUAAUGCACGGUGAUUUUUUUAUAAUUUAUUGUGAGCAUUUUCUUAAUACACGAUGACUUUCAAGAGCAUUAUGGUGAACAUUUUCUUAAUACAUGGUGAAUUAUUUGCAUUUCAAGAAAUGUUCAACAUGGGUUAAAAACUUAUUGUGUAAAUCAUUCUUGCAUUUCAAGAAACACGUCGAUUUUUUUAAUAAAAUUUGAACACUUUUAGUGCAUUUUGGAGAUUUAUUAUGAUUACAAAUUUAUAUUUAAUACAUGUUGUCAACUUUCUAAUUAACUGUGCAUUUAAAAAAAUAAAAUAUAUAUGUAUUAAUAUCAUGAAUAACAAAUAUAUAUGGGCCGUGCCUGUGUUCUAGUCUGGUGCUUGACACUUAAUAAUACUAAUAUGUAAUCGCAAAAUAUAUAUGUAUUAAUAUCAUGAUUAAAAAAAACAGUAACCCAGCGCGCAGCCACGCUGGGCCAAUCGCCGGCCCAACGUCUUCAGCAUCUACUAUCUACUAUCUAUCUAUCUACUACCCCUAUAAAAAGAAGAGAGGGGCAGAUCCAAACAAUCUCAUCCAUCCAUCAGCAAAAUUCAAUGACUUAAUCCUUCGGUGUUUAACGCUGCAAACCACGCAUUAAGCCACUAACAAGCCAUCGAUCGAUAACCCAGCCCCGCAGUUAAUCACACGACUCUCGCCCCUGCCCGCACCUCCCUCUUCGCACGACUCUCACCCCUGCGCGCACGACCUCCACCUCCUCCUCCCGCGCCGUUCGCCGCCCCGCAAACUCCGGCAGCCGUUAACCGCCCUUCGCCGCGGGAGCAGCCGCUCGCCACUGCAGCCGCCGCCCGCGGGAGAAGCCGCGGGAGCCGCUCGCCGCUCGCCGCGGGUCGCCCUUUGCCAUGGUCGCCGCCGGAGCCGCCCCGCCCCUGGAUCCGCUCGCCGUUGGUCCCCGCCGGAGCUGCCCCGCCCCUCCCCGGCGCUCCAACCCCAACUCCCCGACUCUCCAUCCUCCCCGCUUCUCAUCACCACCGCCGCACUCCCCGAAGCCCAUCUCUCUCCAGCCUUCCUGCCCGCAUGCAGCCCUCGCCCUCGGCACCGCACGGGCCAGGCCCUCUCUCCUCGGUUAUGGCCACCAUGGAGAACCUGACCCGUAGGGCAUACCCUCCUCCUCUGAUGCGUAACACCCAUCCCUGCCCCGGCGGCUGGGAUCAUGUCCGCCAUCAUGAGCAGGUGCUCCGCAUCCGAGUGCACCGACUCAGAGGUAGAGGUUGGGCUGUAGUUCUUGGACGCCAAGGAAGAACGCAAGUUGUUGCCGCCGCCGAAGAUGAAAACUGGUGGUAACUGGUAAGCCUCUGCAAGCCCCCACCUAGCCUCCCGCCUCUUAGUUCUUCUCCUUUUUUACUCUAGAUGGAUGAUGUCUGAUCUUGUUCACUUAGUCUCCAAUGCGUGAGGAAGAAAAACAGUCACCUCUAACGUCGAUCAGCAGAGCCCAUGUCUUUUGCAUGUAAAGAGACUCUGAGUUAGUGGUUUUCUAUUUACUACAUGCAUACAUCCAAGAACGACUCUACUGAAAAGUAUUAGAAAUUAUUUACAAAUAGCUUUAAGCAAGAAAUGCAACGAGAUGAUUACAUUACAAUGCUCUUUUCUCUCUUCGUUACUACAACCUUGAUGAUGCUUGGGUGAUUCAACUGAAUAGUUGAUGGAUUAAAAUUCAUAUUACAAUGUGGAAAAUGUAGCAGUUUCAGAUUACAAGAUUCAUGUUGCCGUUGUAUAUAAAGGGAGAAUUAAUGUAGUUGCUCUGUAGGAAGCAUGUAGUUUCUCUGUAGGACUCCUGGUGUGCUGCUGGAAUAAACUGGAGGUACAUGUUUUUGUAAUUUUUUGUUGAUAGCUUACCAAGCUGACCACUUGGUAGAGGUACAUGUUGAUUUGUUCUCUUUCAGGUGAUGGAACUCUAUCCUACGCGCAUAGCAGUGAUGGAACAUAGCGUACUUUCACCCUUUUUUCCAGAUCGAGAUGGUGGAGGCAGCCAGUGUCGUGGCCGAGCGCUGGGGAGCUUGUCGGUGUUUUGAUGGAGAAGGCCGGCCGCCUCCUCUCCCUACCAAGUCUUUUUGGCCCAUAGAUCGAGUUCAUGGUUGAUAAGGAAGGUGUGGUCGAUUUCACCAGGCUGGGUCCGAAGGUCCCGAAGUCCUAUGGCAUGAACUGGCCACGGCGCAUCCGGCUGGAUGCACUUGCUCAACACCUUUCCAUCUCUGUACAAUCAGGUAGAUAUUUUCUCACGUGCCAAAUAUUAUUUUUAGGUUGCCAAAUAGUAGUCUAGGAACUAUAGAAAGUGGAUUGCUGAGUUUGCCAAGCAUAAUAGCACACCUAUUAUCAGAUGACCUGAAGAGUAUAUCAAGCAAAGAUGCUUUCAGAUUUAUGCAUGCCUAUAUUAGGUUCCUACUUGUGUGAAGAUAACACUUUGCAUCAGGCUUGUGAGCAACCGUAAGUUGUUUUGCAUGUGAUACUACUUGUGUGAUUAUUUUUACCUUCGGAAAAUUUCCUUCUUAUUAUAUAUCAUAUGGAAUUCUUCAACCAGAGGAGAGCAACUCAAUGAGUUUGCAUACAUUCAGCCAUCUAUGUUGAUGCAACUCAACUAACAAAGAGUAUUUAAGAAAAGACUGCAGUUUGUAAAGCCAGUGGACAAAUUAGUUCUGCACAGUCCGGCAUUAGCGGCGUGCAUGCAGUAAUUCAUCAAUGUUGGGGGUCAGUGCUAUGAACAUCAAGCUUCACCUUUACCAGUGGCAUUAAUUUGUUGUUUUUGUUUUAUAUCAAAUAAUUUACCAUUCUUCAGUUUUGCAUAUCAUAUUUUGGUUCUGAAUUUGUAUUUGGAUAUUUCUGCAACCUUAUUUCUAACAUGCCUUCAACUACUGUUUAUCGCACAAAAAGUCGAAAAAUGUGGAAUAGAGAACUAUUACGGGUAAUACGAAUUGUUUUCUCAUGCAGACUACAAAUUCUCUGUAAUUCACGUGGUUUUGGAAUUUGUUUAAUGUGCAAAAUAUGUACAAGGCUUGUGAGCGGCCAUUUUUAGCCAAGUACUUGUAUAAGUUCUCUUGUAACUUAGCUAUCAGCUUAUUACGAAAGGCUUUGAGGAUUCUUAAUCUAAACUAAAUUUUUAUACCUGUAGUAAUCUUCUGUUAUGAUUUAAUAUUGCACCACGUUAGUCUUGCAUCACGUUAGACCCUGGGUUUGUACUUGCUGCAAAUGCUGUAGGAACUCAACGGCUGUACUUGCUGAAAAUUUCAAUUGAUCAACAUGGGAGUAGUGGUCUCAUGAUCUAAGACUAAGAGUAGAUUUAUUUAUUCUGUUCUAAUAUGUUUAAGAGGGGGAUGAGAAAGUUUCUGCUUAGGUUUGCGUUGCAAGUGAAAGCUUAGUUUAGUAGCAAGGUUAUAACGUGCGUUGCACGUGCAAACUUACUAGUAGUAUAAAGAAGUUCUCGCCUCUUUUACUUCGCGAGGGCAGCCGUGGCGGGGUGGCUAGCCUGCUGCUCUGCUGUACCUCAGGUCGCCGGUUCGAUUCCUGCGCGGGAUUCAGGAUUUGUUCCUUUUAUUUACUUGUUCAAACCGACGCAAAUUUGCAAACGAGUCCGAAUCCGUGGUGGAAAUUACGAACGGAAAAAAAGCCUCUCGUAGGAGCCUCUUUCUCCGAAAUAAUUGGGCAUUUACAUGAUUACACACAAACGGAGGGAGUUUCCUGCAAAAAAUUUGCCACGUCAGCACCCGACAGGCGGGCCCAACCUGUCAGAUUCCCUGUCAAUACGUAUAAACUGCAGUUUUAGUCUUUUUUGCAACGCCUCGCCCAAAGUUGGUACUGACACGUAAAAAUUACCAAUCUUGAUACCAAUCUGUUUCCAAUGCCUCAAUUGUGAUACUUUUGUGCAAUUUACUCGCUGACACCCGUCGCUGCUCAUGCUCAUGCAUGAUGGACUGGCCACGCGUAAAAGGUCCCGGCCUCUAGGAGUGCGAAGUUAUGGUGCUCGGGCAGUCGGGCACCAUGAUGCCCUUUAUUUUCAUUUUUUUAAAACACACACACGCACGCGCGCGUGCGCGCGCGCACACACACAUAUAGAAGUAAAAAAACAAAAAAAACAAAAUCUGUGGAAACAUGUUAUAUGUGCACUGCGGAUCCAUGAAAUUUUGUUUCCAAAAAAAUGUAUUGUGUAAGCUGUACAAAAAAAGAUUCUGUCCCAAAAGCAAAAAGAGGCCCAUUUGAAAAAUACAUAUUUGUCUUUUCUUUGUACGCCUCAUGUGAAAGUAAGAUGUUAUGAAAUUUUGCACAUACAUAGUAUACAUGUGAGUGUGUUUACAAAAAAUUCCAAUCUUUUUUCCCUAUAGAAAAUGUUUUUUCGCGACCUCUAGCAGGUUCAAAGCUGCUUCCUAUUCAGCGCUUCACCCGCGCUGGUUAAAGGCGUCCACGUACGUAAACCAACUGGGCCGGCCUGUAAUGCAUUGAAACAUUCCUGAUUUUUGUGCAGCUUUGUGGUCACUUCUAGGAAGCUUCUAGAAGCAUCAAACCAUUUUUGGGAAGCUUUUGACCGAUGUUUUCUUUGCCUGUUUUUUAAUUUUCAUUUUUCGUUUUUCUUUUUCUUUAUUUAUUAUUUUGUAUUUAACUUUUUUAAAUUCACAAACCUUUUUAAUAUUCAUGCACUUUUUAAAAUCUGUGAAUAUUUUUUAAAUUUAUAUUUUUAUAUAAAUUCGUGAACAUAUUUAAAAUCCAUAAACAUCUUGAAAUUCAUGAACUUUUCCAAAUCCGAAUUAUUUUUCAAAUCAUUGUUUUUAUUUCAAAUUUGUGUUUUUUUUAAUUCAUGAACUAUUUUCCAAUCCAUGAUUUUUAUUCAAAUUCACAAAAAGAAACUCUGUUUGUUCCAAAAGUCAACGGUCUACAGGCCGACCAGGUCAACCAUGAAGAGCGACUAGGCGCGUGAGCUUGAUGAGCGAGCUGCUCGCUCGCAUAGCUAGCCCUGCCUACACAGGGGGGCGAGUGAGCGCUGCCUAGCUACCAGGCGCAGUGAGCGCUAACUAGGAGCUGCCACAGCAAAAAGCAUAGCUGGCUUCCCUCUUAAUGACAAAUUUGCACAAAAUGGACCUUUUGAAGAAAUCUAAGCCCAAGAGGCCCCUAAUUCACCUAUGGACCCCCUCCAGUGGAUGAUUGCGGUUCAUAUAUUAACAUGGUCAGUAUUAUCACGAUUUUACCUGCUACUUAUGUCCGACGAUCAAAAUUGGUCCAUAUAUCGUCACAUAUAUAUAAGUAAACUAAAUAGUUGCUCGUGCCACUAGUGGAAAAAGGCUCAUUUGUCCCGGUUCUGGAACCGGGACUAAAGGGUCGAGACUAAAGCUCAAACCUUUAGUCCCGGUUUGCUUAUGAACCGGGAGUAAAGAAGCUCCACGUGGCCGCUGUCUGGAGCUCCACCUUUACCAACCAGGACUAAAGAAUUUUUUUUAAAAAAUUUAUUUUUCUGAAUUUUGUUGAAUUUUUUUUGAUUUUUUUCUUAUUUUCAAAUUUCUGAAUUAUUUGACAAUUUAAUCUCUAAUCAUCCCUCAUCACUGCUCACUGCUCAAUUAUAAACCACUCAUUUCAAAUCGUCUAACUUCCCAGCAAGUCACGCAUCUUCUCACUACUCCAUCCUGAGCAUGCUUAACUUUCGAGUUCUAUUCCCCCUAGUUUUCAAGUGCUUUUCCUGACAAUACUAAGCUGUCAAUCCUAUUAACACUUAGGAGUUGAACUUGAGCAUUAAGCACCGUUUGAGUUUGAAACUAUUAUUCUAAAAAAACAAUUAUUAUUUAGUAACACUAAUAUUUCUUGAAUAAGUAGUUUGACCAUAGUUUGACCAGAUUUGACCAUAGUUUGACCACAAUUUGACCAAAAGUCAAAAAAGAAAAAAUAAUUAUUUAUUAACACUAAUAUUUCUUGAAUAAGUAGUUUGGCCACAGUUUAAUCAGAUUUAAUGGAAAGUCAAAAAAACUGAAAUUUGAGCAUAUUUGUUUUCUUUCAGAAUUUCAGGAUUCUAAAAAUUUGCAAACAGGUCUACGGCUGUCAAAAUCGAAUGUGGAUUUUCGUGCUUUUUUUUGAUAUAUUAUGCGUUUUUUCGACAUCGUAUGCAAAAGAUAUGACCGUUUUACUUUUUCAUAACACUUUUUUUGCAAAAUAUGUCCAAAUUUAAGCUUUUUAAUUUUCCUAACUAGUAGAUGUAAUAACAUAACUACAUCUCGAAGGAUUUAAUUUUUUAAGUUUUUAUCAUUUUCUUUUGGAUUUUAAAAGACUGAAAAGGCGAUACACGGGGGGUAGAGUUUGAAUCUUUAGUCCCAGUUUACGACACGAACCGGGACUAAAGAGUGCGAUGCCCUUUAGUCCCGGUUCGUGUCUCAAACCGGGACUAAAGGUCCCAUUUGAACCGGGACUAAUGUCUUCUCGACGCCUUAGCCGCUUGAACCGGGACUAAUGCUCAUAUUAGUUUCGGUUCGUGAUGCAACCGGGACUAAAGUGUACAUUGAGCUGUGACCAAAGCCCUGUUUUCUACUAGUGUGCAUUGUAAUGGGGCACACUAUUUUCUACCCAAACAUUGUGAUUUAUCGUACAUUUUGUUGUUAUAUGAUAAUUACAUACUAAAUGUCGCAACUGAAUAAGUACUUAUUGAUUUACCAAAGAAAACAUGAUUCUAUUAGUUAAAUCAAUAAGGCGUGGACCAGUUGAGGUGGUUCAAAAGAGAAUCGAUGAGAUAUUUUUAAUAAAACCUUGUGUUCAUUUUAAGUAGGAUAGAUGUUGCCGCAUUUUUCUAAAUCAUUGGGUUUAGAUUAGGGGGGUGGGUGCAAAUCAAGCGUGUGGCAACUCUAACGAGCUUGCAAAACUGGUUGUAUGUGCAAUCUUAUUAUAGCAAUCAAAUAUAUCUAAAUGCAUCUUUUUUUUUGAGGAGGUACGCAAAUUGUGCACCUUAGCUUUAUAGAAGGAGAGAAAUAAGACAUACAACAACGUCUACCAUUCGCUGCGGAGAACGAAGGCGACCAACUCCACACCCGGUUCGAACAAGGACAACCAAACACAACAACCUACCCAACACCGAGCCCCUCGCCGCGUCUCGACCGACACUGAAGACCUCCGAAGAACAGCAACUCCAGCUUCCUUGGAGUAGCCAGCGACGACCGUACAUGGCGCCGAAGGAGAAAGAUCCGGGUAGCGGUGAACACCGGAGGAGCGCAUCAUGGGACCUCGAGUCUCCCAGCAUAAUGCUCCCAACAGAGUAACAACCUCAAAGACGUUGCCAUCAUGCCGAUCCUACGAAUCAAGGCUUUCACCCCGGAGACAGCUGACGAAAUGAGGUCGCGAGGAAGAUGGCGUUGCACUCGGCGAAGCCUCCAAGAAGGGGAAUGACACCCGCAGGCGCCAUCAACGCCGGUCCGGCCACAACCGAACAGGAUUUUCAUCCGUAGCUCUGCACAUCUCCGAGUCUCCAAGAUCCCGACCAGCCCCGAUCAGAUGCCUCGCACCGCCGUCACCACAACAACUUGCCAUCGAAGCCCCCCCUCACUGCCGAGGGGACACGCCUAAAGCCAUAGCCUUCAACAUCGACUAGGAGCUGCAGCAUCCACCGAGUGGUGCAAAGCCAUUUCCGCCACAGUGGCCUUCACCCAUCCCAGGGGACUGCCACCAGAAUGGAUCCGACCCGCACCUCCGACCAUCCUCCAGCACGCACACCGCCGAGGCAUCGCCGCACGCCUCACAAGGUAGCAACCGAACGCCCGCUGCCCGCCAAGACCCUUCCUGGCAAGGCCUCGCAGCGCCGCCGCCGCCAUGGCUGCGCUCGCACCGCCGCCACCGCCAGUGCCGGUGCACCACCUGCAUCCUCCAUCCUGCUACGUUCCACGCAAGGAUCCAGCGAUAACCGCCGCACCCCAUGUCGUGAGAACCUCAAGGACGCCGGCCAGUGCCAAAAACGCACCAGAUCUGGCCCGAGAUCCUCGGGUCCGCACGGAUCGGCCCGCUCGGAACUGGCCAGGCACGAACUCCCCCGCGGCGAGGAGCACCAACCCGCAGCCGUCCUGCGCACUCCACCGCGACGCGCCGCCACCAGACCGCCGCGACGCCCCACACCACCUCCGGCCAGCGCGCAUCUCCGCCGCGUCGGCCACCGAGAUUCGACGCCAGGCUGAAGAAGUGGUCCCGCCGGCCUGCGCACGCGACGCGCCGCUGCCAGACCGCCGCGACGCCCCGCACCACCUCCCGCCAGCGCGCAUCCACCCGCCACGCCAGCCACCGAGAUCCGCCGCCAGGCCGAAGAAGCGGUCCCCCGCGACCACCGCUCCAGGUGAGGGCAAGAUGAAUCCCGCCGCCGCCGGCACCACACGGGCUUUGUCCGACGGCGACCGCCGCCGGCGGCGGCGGCGGCGGGGAGGGGGAAAGGGAGGGAGGCUGGGGUCGGCGGCGGGGUUAGGGCACCCGAGUCGCCCGCGGGGGGGCGACGCGGGGCAGUUAUAUCUACAUGCAUCUAGCUGUCACCAAACCAAACACUCGCUUUUUGCCUAUGUGUUCCACCCCUCAAAUUUUACUAUGCCAUGCACGACUCAAUAUUUUUCUUUGACUUUUUUUUGCUGUGAUACAUAAUAAUGAUCACAAAAAUUAGCUUUGACUACAGUGGAUUUUCACUAAAUAAGAUUGAGAGAGUGAAAAAUCACUCCCUCCUAUUCCUAUAUGUCCAAUCCUCACAUAUGCAACGAAUAUAGAUCGACCUAAGUAUCAGAGCCAACAACCAAGCUUUCCGAACUAAAACAAUUGAAGGAGCGUAAACAUCAAGAACCAUCAUCACCCAAAAACAAAUGAAACCUUCUCACAGGGCCCCCACGUCGCUCUCUCCCCGGGGCGGCACGGGCGGCGACCACCGCCCCUCUCGCGGCCUCCCCAACUCCAGCCUCUUCUCCCCCUCGCCGUCGCCGGUGGCCUCCGGCAGGCAAAGCCUGCGCGGAGCCACCGGCGACGGGGCGCUCUCUGUAGCUGCUGCUCGCUCGGGAGGAGGGGCGCUCGCAUGCGGGUCGCGGCUGUCCGGCGCUCGGCCUCGUGGCGGCAUUGCUGCUCGCGGCGGAGGCAGUCUCCGGCAUAUGGCGCGGCGUCUGGUCGCGGCGGUGGGCGCGCCGUCGCGGUGCGCGCGGUCACGGUCGUCGGCCUCGUGCGGUCCCGAUCCGAUCUGGGAUCCUGCUGGCGGCGGUUGGCGCGGACGGUGUGUGGCGCCGGGGCGGCGGCCUCGGUCCGAGCUCCUGAUGUGGCCGGGGCGUGGACGGCGCGCGCUCGCGUGGUGGUGGCUCGGUUCUGGCUGUGCGUGUGGGGCGCAGCGACCAGUCGGGCGUGGUGGCUGCAGGUGCGUGUCGGGCGCAGUGACCGGCGGUGCGUGACGGGUGUGCUUCUCUGGAGUGCGAGGUGUGCUGCGGAGGGGAUCCUGCUCGUCUGCUCUACUGCUUUGCAUGUGCAACUCCGAUUGCAUAUGGUGCGAGGUGCAUCGAUCUGGGUGCUGCGCUUCGCGAUGCGGCGUGGGUUGAUGCGGUGGUGGUGGCCACGGUGGUGCUGCGGUGGUGGACGGCGGCUUCGGCCAGGGGGUGGUGCAUGUCAUGUCGCGGUGGAUCAUGGGAUCCCGUGGCCUGAAUGAGGUCGGCCUCAGUAGGUGGUGGCUGGUGGGCGGUGGUCGGUGGUGGUAGGUGGUCGGCGCAUCUCCAGGAGAAAUCUUUGCUUCAGCCUUCUUCGGAGAUGGCGACGGCGGCGCCCGCGGGUGCAGUGAUCUUUCUUGGAAGCGUUGUCGUGGAGGUGUGCUCCUCCUCCCCACGGAUUUGGCUCCGGAGGGAAACCUCAGAUCCGCUGGGUCGGGCGAUGAAGGCGUCUUCGCGUCUUUCUCCUCCUUGGGCGCAUCGUCUCGGAGCCGGCUACGACUGGGAGACUGGUGGAUUGCGGCAUCUUCGCCGUGGAUGGCGGCAUCUUCGCCGCGUGGUCUGCUGAGGCGGGGCACUGGUUUCUGUUUGGCAACGAUGAUGGCGUCAAGAGGAGGUCGGGUCGCGGCGUGGACUUCGGUAGUCGGUUCUUCCCGGCGUGUCCGAGGUGCUCUUCUGUGGGCACGGUCGGCGCAAGUCUUGCAUAUUUCCCUAGUGAGGCUCGUCGUCAAAGUCGGAGCUGUCAGUUGCUUGCGCGUGUGGCCAUCCGGUGGCAUGUGCCGUCGUGGCUUCUAUACAGCUGUUUGCAGGUUGGCUUUGAGGUUGGAGCUCUAUGGUGAAGUCGGAGUCGCUCGUUCGAGGCAAUCGGUGAUGACGAUGACGCUUGCGACUCCUCGGCGAAUGCCAUUCUUCUUUGCAGCUUUGUGUUCCAUGUCGGUGGCCUGGUUGGCCGGUGAUGCCCAUGUCAGGUGGGUUGAGUUGUAUCGGUUUUAGCCCGGUUUUUCGCAAAUUAACCGGGCAAUUCUCUCUUCUUCUUAAUCAAUGAAAAUGGCAAAUCUUUUGCCUCGUUUCAAAAAAAAAAAACAACAACAAAUGAAGCAAGACUAAAACUAUAAAUUCAAGAACUUGUAGGGGUCACAUGGACCGCUGGAAAAAAUUUGUACCUUGAGAGCUGUGAUAUUUUUAAAACAAGAUCAGCCAGGAAUAGCUCUUAGCAACAUAUUUUUAUAGAAGAAAAUCUCUAAGCAUCCGGCAGAGUAUACCGCUUUAGCAUAUGUACAAAUCUACAAAACACACAAUAGGUGGUAUUUAAAAUUAAAAUGUAUGGAAAUAAAUGGUCAAAGUGUAGCACGCAUCUCAAAGCUCGCCCCGACGCUGGAUUCUUUGGUGUUGCCUACCGGGUGGGCACCCUAGAAAAAUCGUGUUCGUGUCCACCGGCCGAAUCGAUGCGUUUAUGAUCAACCGCUCGCCGCUCCCUACCCUUGCUAGCUCACGGCAAUCCGGUCGUCGUCGUCGUCACAGACCACGUGAGUUUUCUUGUAGUAAUCCAUGGCGUCGCCGGAUCGACCUUUGGCUCUUUCCACAUACUACCUACCUAAUUGCGGCACAUAUUUGUCGCCUUUUUCAUUUGGAUGCAACUGCAUCGCGUUCGGUUUGACCCAUGGCUUCGGCAGCUUGUGCGCGCCGCUACAUUAUAAGCAGGUGCGCUCACACAACUAGCAGCUCCAUCACUCCACCACCACCCUGAUACACUCAUAACAAGCAGUGAUCGGUCGAUGGAGGCUUCACGCAAGCUCCUCUCGGCGGCGCUCCUCCUGGUGCUGCUGCUGGCGGGCACAGGGGAGAUGGGAGGCCCGGUGGCGGUGGCGGAGGCGCGGACGUGCGAGGCGAAGAGCCACAGGUUCAGGGGCCCCUGCGUGCGCCACCACAACUGCGCCAACGUCUGCAAGACCGAGGGCUUCCCCGGCGGCAAGUGCCGCGGCUUCCGCCAUCGCUGCUUCUGCACCACCCACUGCCGGCAGUAACCAACCUAUUGCCUCUACUUCGUACGUCCGCCUAGCUGCAGCCUGCCUGCGUGCAUCCUGGCUUGCUCGCACCUCUGUGCGUCUAUAGUAGUUAGCACUGUGUCCAUGAAUAAACCUCGGCCUGUCUGUCAUGGCAUGCUGAAAUGGGUAUAAGAAACGCAGGCUCUCUUUUACUCUAUAUUAACUAGAAGAACGCCCGUGCGUUGCAACGGGGCCACAUUAAUUUUAAGAAUUCAAUAUUACGACAUUGAUGAUCUUUUUUACCAUCAAAUCCUCACACACACAGACACACACUCUCCCUCCCUCUUCCUCACUCUCUAUCCCCCUCUCCCUCUCUCUCUAACACACACACAUAUCUAUCUUAUUGGGUACGGGACCAUAAUCCAUCUAUUUCACAGAUACACGCUACUGCAUAACAAUAUGGAUUAUGUGUAUUAUAUUUGCCACCAGAACCGAGGAAAUUAAUUUCAUGUAAAUCGACCAACCACAGCUCCAAGAAUACGCGGACGAGGUGGCUCGGAUCGGUGUCGGCGCCGUCCAGCGCGGACCACGGACCCGCUACCAAGUGCACGUACAAUGCACGUCUUCACAAAUAUUAUAACCAGAUGUGAGAAAUCACAUGCAUAGAAAAGACAUUCUGAUAGCAAUCCAAAUACCAUACUCAAUUGAAUACCUAACCUGGACAAUACUCUUAUUUCUAUGCGCCAAAAAAAAUGGAAUAGCAAAGCUAAGUAUGCCUACAUACGCUCAGAUUAUAUAUAAGAAUCUUGGGUGAACAAUUGCAACAAAGCACUAAGCAGCGAUAAAUCUAAAUAACAAAUCCAUUAACUAUGCAGGCAGCAGGCUUGUUACAACAUAGAGAGAUAGGAAAAUGUCACCUCCAGUAAUGUAGCGCAAAGGAGUGGAACGAAGCAUGAAUGAGCGGUUGUCUGUUCUUCUCCAUGUACAUGGAUCAGUAGUAGAGGCCAAGUAUAUAAGUACUUGACUGAACUCCACUCUUCGUGUACGGAGAGCCAUGUCACCUUCUCACCGCUGCAGCAUGGGAGGACGGCUGGUUCACGUGACCCUCCAGCUGGGGGAUCCAUGGUGUCUGACCGUCGAGCUCGAGGCAGAGAAGUUGAGGGCAGCAGUGGCGAGAUCCAUGCCGGCCAACCGGGCGAAGAGGAGGUCGUCGGGGAGGGACACAUCGGCAAGAUCCGGUCACCACGCGACCUGAAGAGCAACAGUGAUCUCCACAAGCUGUAGUCCGACGGCGUGCUCCAUCCCCUGCGAUGGGGUGACCAUGGCGGUGGCCACAGCUCCUCAUGCUCGCCUCGAUCUCGGCGACACACCCUAAGUGUAGGAGGCAGCAACGACCUCGACGAAAUCAUGGCCUCCAUCCCGGAACGCAUGAAGGACCUCGGCCCUAUCGCUACUCCUCCCGCCGUAGCCGCACGCGGCAGCGGACCGUGGGUAGGAGGCCAGGCGGCGUCGCCUCGGCUGACGGCAGGGAGCAGCGUUGAUUUCGGGUAGGUGGCAUCGCGAGGACGGCCGCGGCCGCGGGGAGGCACCCCGAUCAUGCUGCCAGGCCAAUCCUUCUCCUCCGACCCCCUAUCCCCGAAGAUUGCGCCGCCGCCCCGGUCGUGUUGUUUUCAUAUGCCAUUUUUUCCUGUACCUAAACAAAAGCGGGCGAGCGGAUGGCAGAGUUUUGGUCCGCCCUCUAAAAUUGCUAAACACACUUUUGGUGAGGAUUAUUGUUAAUAAAUGAAUUCAAUCAUGUCGCUCUAAAUAAAUGAAUUCAAUCAUGUGACUCUAAUUACUUCGGAUUGUUAUGUGCACACUAAGCGGGGUGUAGUUAGGAAAGAAAAUGUUUUCUAAUUAAAGUGAUUGAGUGAUUUAAGGUAAGGUUAAUUAAUUUAGAUUUGAUUUUUAGUGAUUGUUAGUAAAGUAUGAUGGGUCUUUAAAAUCUUUUAUUUGUUUCCUUAAAAUCUAUUAUUUGUUUCCUAUAGAAAUUUGCAAUAAUGGAAGGUAUCGGUUGAUUUGGAUAAGUUAGUAAAUUUAGAUCCGUGAGUGCGUGCACAUUUGGAAAGUGCUGAUUUACAAGGAAAGAGCUGAGGGGUAAAUAAACCGGUGAAUAAGAAAUCAGCAUCGAAAAAAAUCUACGACGGUUAACCUACGGAAAAACACCGGACGAAAGUGGUGGGACGAAAAAAAAC